UGAGGUUAAAACCCAUGAAGCUAUUAAUGAAUAUGAUGGAGUGGAGAUGAUACAGGGUACAAAUAUUGAAAAUUCCGGACCGAACAAGAAGAUUGUUUUUUCUGGGGUUGAAAUUAAUCAUAUGCUGAAGAGUCGAGUGAUGAGAAUUAUGAUGAAGAGUAGGAUGCCAGUUCUGAUGAAAUAGCUUCUGACUGAUUCUGCCAAGUAGCAACAGAAUCACCUGAUUACUCCUCAAAAGAUUCUGAUUCUAAAUAUAAGGAACAGCAACAUAUGAAACGUUGCAUUGGUAAAACUUACCCCCCCCCCCAGAAAGGGAUGAGAAAACCAUGGACAGAGAUUGAAAAAGAGGCUGUAAAGAAAGGAUUACACAGAUGCUUUUUUUUAGUCAAGUUACCAUCAAAAAAGAGAGUGUGAAGAUCUAAUCAGUAAGGAACCACAAUGAUAAAAGAUUCUGUGAGAACAUCAUUUAAGCAGCACAAAAACGUCAAAAUGAAAAGGAAAAAAGAACAUAAAAUUGAUAAACCAGUGAAUAUAUUAGUAUGUCUGGAUAUCUACAUUUUUUUAAGUAUGCAGGAACUCAAAUUUCUCUUGUCAAAAUUGUCUCGAUAUCGCGUGGAACUUAACUUAAAAUUUGCCUGAUAUUUUUGUGGUUUAUUGUGUUGCCUCAACGGAGUAGUGGCAACAUGUAGGGAUCCCUUCUCCGGCAUCUGCCACAAAACUUGUCUGGACUACUCCUCAGAAACUACUGGUGCAAUUUCAUGGAAACUUUACAGGAAUGCUCAGUACUAAGUAUAGUGUUUUACAUAGAACAGUUCAUCAAAAUAAAAUAUCGUAAACACCGCUUAUAACUAACAGCUCUAGACCUACAAAAAGUGUUUGUUUUUUAAGGAGUAUGUAAUAGAUAUUUAUCUUCUGUUUUGUUAUUUUAAGCUAGAUUUUUUUUCCAAAGAAAAAAAUAUAGAGGAAUUGCCACAGUCAGGUUCGCGUUCCCGUAUCCUGUUGCUAUUGUCAUCCAAAAACUUUAACAUUGAUCAUUAUUUUUAGAUCACCUGUCAAAAAGUGACAGGGUGAGCUUUUGUGAUCACUUUUCGUCCAGCAUCUGUCUGUCCGUCCGGUGUCCGUAAACUUUUACUUAAAA